rnacentral:rRNA from 1 species
UUAGGUGCCCUUCGGGGAAAGUUGAGACAGGUGGUGCAUGGUUGUCGUCAGCUCGUGUCGUGAGAUGUUGGGUUAAGUCCCGCAACGAGCGCAACCCUUGACUUUAGUUGCCAGCAGGUAAAGCUGGGCACUCUAGAGUGACUGCCGGUGACAAACCGGAGGAAGGUGGGGAUGACGUCAAAUCAUCAUGCCCCUUAUGACCUGGGCUACACACGUACUACAAUGGCCGGUACAACGGGAA